ensembl:lncRNA
CGGGAUACCGAUAACAGACUGGCCCACCGGCGGCAGACGAUUCUCCGUGAGAAGGGGAGAAGGUUAGCUAACCGAGGACCCGCAUACAUGUUUAACGAUCGCUCAACAAGCUUAUCUAUUGAGGAGGAACGUUUUUUAGAUGCUGCUGAAUAUGGCAACGUCCCGGUGGUGAGGAAGAUGUUGGAAGAAUGUCUCUCCCUCAAUGUUAACUGUGUGGAUUACAUGGGCCAGAAUGCCCUGCAGUUGGCCGUAGCCAACGAGCAUCUGGAAGUUACAGAACUUCUUCUCAAGAAAGAAAACCUCUCUCGUGUUGGGGAUGCUUUGCUUCUAGCUAUUAGUAAAGGUUAUGUUCGGAUUGUGGAAGCUAUUCUCAGUCAUCCAGCUUUUGCUGAAGGCAAGAGGUUAGCAACCAGCCCUAGCCAGUCUGAACUGCAGCAAGACGAUUUUUAUGCCUAUGAUGAAGAUGGAACACGGUUCUCUCACGAUGUGACUCCGAUCAUUCUGGCCGCCCACUGCCAGGAAUACGAAAUCGUGCAUACCCUCCUGCGGAAGGGUGCUCGGAUUGAGCGGCCUCAUGACUAUUUCUGCAAGUGCAGUGAGUGCAGCCAGAAACAGAAGCAUGACUCCUUCAGUCACUCCAGAUCUAGGAUUAAUGCCUACAAGGGCCUGGCAAGUCCAGCUUACCUGUCACUGUCUAGUGAAGACCCAGUCAUGACAGCGUUAGAACUCAGCAACGAGCUGGCCAUGCUGGCCAACAUCGAGAAAGAGUUCAAGAUGGCGAAGAUUAUGCGCGGACCAUUCAUGAAGUUUGUGGCGCACGCUGCUUCCUUCACCAUUUUUCUGGGACUGCUAGUCAUGAAUGCAGCUGACAGAUUUGAAGGCACCAAACUCCUUCCUAAUGAAACCAGCACAGAUAAUGCAAAACAGCUGUUCAGGAUGAAAACGUCCUGCUUCUCAUGGAUGGAGAUGCUCAUUAUAUCCUGGGUAAUAGGCAUGAUAUGGGCUGAAUGUAAAGAAAUUUGGACGGAAGGCCCCAAGGAGUACUUGUUUGAGUUGUGGAACAUGCUGGACUUUGGUAUGUUGGCGAUCUUCGCUGCAUCGUUCAUUGCGAGGUUCAUGGCAUUUUGGCAUGCUUCCAAAGCCCAGCACAUCAUUGAUGCAAAUGAUACUUUGAAGGACUUGACCAAAGUCACACUGGGAGACAAUGUGAAGUAUUACAAUUUGGCCAGGAUAAAAUGGGACCCCUCUGAUCCUCAAAUUAUAUCUGAAGGUCUUUAUGCAAUUGCUGUAGUUCUAAGUUUCUCAAGAAUAGCUUAUAUUUUACCAGCCAAUGAAAGCUUUGGACCUCUGCAGAUAUCACUUGGAAGAACAGUGAAGGACAUCUUCAAGUUCAUGGUCAUAUUCAUCAUGGUGUUUGUGGCCUUUAUGAUUGGAAUGUUCAACCUCUACUCCUACUACAUUGGUGCAAAACAAAAUGAAGCCUUCACAACAGUUGAGGAGAGUUUUAAGACAUUGUUCUGGGCUAUAUUUGGACUUUCUGAAGUGAAGUCAGUGGUCAUCAACUAUAAUCACAAAUUCAUUGAAAACAUCGGUUAUGUUCUCUAUGGAGUCUAUAAUGUUACAAUGGUCAUUGUCUUGCUAAAUAUGUUAAUAGCAAUGAUCAACAGUUCAUUCCAGGAAAUCGAGGAUGAUGCUGAUGUGGAGUGGAAAUUUGCAAGGGCCAAACUUUGGUUUUCCUACUUUGAAGAGGGAAGAACCUUACCUGUUCCCUUCAACCUGGUGCCAAGUCCAAAGUCCCUGUUUUAUCUCUUAGCGAGGCUUAAAAAAUGGAUUUCCGAGAUGUUCCAGGCCCAUAAAAAAGGUUCCCAGGAGGAUGCAGAGAUGAACAAGAGAAAUGAAGAAAAGAAAUUUGGAAUUUUGGGAAGUCAUGAAGACCUUUCAAAAUUAUCACUUGACAAAAAACAGCUUGGGCAUAGUAAACAAUCAAGUGUAAGGAGCUCAGAAGAUUUCCAGUUAAGUAGUUUCAAUAAUCCUCCAGGAAAGUAUCAGAAAAUUAUGAAGAGGCUCAUUAAAAGAUACGUCCUACAAGCCCAGAUAGAUCGGGAGAGUGAUGAUGUGAACGAAGGGGAACUGAAGGAAAUUAAACAGGACAUCUCAAGCCUCCGCUAUGAACUCCUUGAAGAGAAAACUCAGAAUUCAGAAGACCUAGCAGAACUUAUUAGAAAACUUGGGGAGAAAUUAUCAAUGGAACCAAAGCAAGAGGAAGUCAAUAGAUAAUACAAAGACUUCCAUUAAAAAUCCUAUUUAUUUGUUCACUUGAAGCCAUAUUAUUUUCCAGUUUAUUUUUUAAGUGCCAUUGUGACCAUCUUUUAAACAGGAGAAUGUCCAAAGAUAACUUGGGUCAUCCCAUUAUCCAAAACCGAAAUAUUUAAUUUUUUAGUGAUUAAACUUCAUUGUUCAGACUAAAGUUUACAGAUUAUGAUGAAAAUUAUGCCCAGUUGUUUGAUGUUUCCUUGGCUACAACUAUCAUGACAAUGUGAUUGCAUCUAGUGUCUGCCUGGGGAUUGUCUAGGCUGGUUGGAGGCUGACACAGCUCACUGUCCGUGCGGUCUUUACCAUGAACGUGAUUUCAGGUAACUGUUUGCCUGCCUUGUGGGUCCCCUGAUGGUGACUUCCAGCCCUGAAAUCCAGGGACAGAUAACCUGUAGCUAUUUGGAAAAUGCUGUUUAAUCAUCUAUUCUGCAAAGCCCCACAGAAUAUGAUUGUGCAAAGUUGGGUUAAAUCAUACCUAAAUUUGCCAAUUCACCUCUUUGAAAAUGUUACACUUAACAGUGAAAAAGUGCUUCCUCUACUGAGCCCUGAAAACAUGGUUUAGUUGUGGGUGGGUGUGCACGUGCACAUGUGUGUAUGAAAUGAUUGUCCUGUUUUCUUUUGUAGCCAAAAUGGACUCUUAAAACCUCUUUCUCUUUUGAGUUUUACUGUGACUGAAAAAUUGUUGAUUAAAUAUGAACCCUUUAUUGGAGAAAUAUCAAAGUCACAAAUGAUUCAAUUAUUUGGUCCAAAAUUUUAUGCCAUUUCUGAGGCAUUUACAGGAAAAUCCCACAUUUGGCAUUGAGUAUAAAGGAAACUGUGGAAGGAAACUGCAAAUAUUUAUCUUUAUUCUCAGUGCACUCUACCUUCUCUGAAAAUACAUGAAGCAGGGAUCUGUGUUUGUAGGCAUCUAUGUAGGCUGCUCUUACUGAUGAUGUGAGGCUAUAUCUAGGACAAUUAAAAGAAAGAGAUGAAAGUUCAUGUGUUCAGCUACACAGACGACAAACAUUGAAAUGAUGUUUGGCAUUGACUGUAGUGUUUCUUUAAAUUCAGUAAAGAGAGGUUUCAAAUGCAAAUUUUUUACUCCAUGUUAGAGAGAAAAUAGUCACAAAAAUCUAGUUAGCCCCAACUUUGACUUCAUUUAAGUCAAAGUGAUUUUAUGUAACCAGAUAAGAAAAUACAACUGAAAUUUUACAUUCAGUGAUUUUGUAUGUGUGGGUAUUAUUUAUUGAGAAGUUAUUUAGUAAUACAGAAAAGGUAGGCUUUCAAAUGUUUUGUGACAAUUUUUAAAUCAGAAGUUGUAAAAUCAGCCUCAUAGCAAAUGCACUAUCAGCAAAGGAAAAUAAUCUUACAUCCACAAAGCUUCUGUGUUGUGCCAUGAAAGAGAUUGGCCUCUAUGCCAAGGGGUGUCCUGUGACAGCAAAUGGACUUGACUUCAAAGAAUCUAGAAAAAAUAUUCAGAUUCCUCAGUGUCUUUUAAGUCGGGUUGACCUGACAAGAUAUAGGUUUUGGGACCUACAAAAGGAAUGGCUGUGGCCUUCUCAGUCAAAGGCACGACCAUCAAGAGCUACCUCUAUGACUGUUUCAAACUAGUAGGUCCUGAAGUCAGCAGAUCUCCUCAAAGUACAAAUGAAUUGGCACCUCUUCCAAUUUCCUUUCAAUUGGAACAUGAAAAGAAACCAACCACAUUUUAAGAAAGGUUUUAAAAUUCCAACAAGAGCUUAAUUAAAGGCAUAUUGUCAAAGGAUGGUUGCGAGCAUGACUGUCCUGCACAAGUCUCAAGGCCGUUGGCUUAAAAUCCUGCGCUCAUGUUGCAGUCAGCUUAACCUAUAAAAAUAAAAUGAUUAAUCAGAUGAAAUGAAUUUGUCCA